AGAGUUUGAUCAUGGCUCAGGACGAACGCUGGCGGCGUGCUUAACACAUGCAAGUCGAACGGAAAGGCCCUGCUUUUGUGGGGUGCUCGAGUGGCGAACGGGUGAGUAACACGUGAGUAACCUGCCCUUGACUUUGGGAUAACUUCAGGAAACUGGGGCUAAUACCGGAUAGGAGCUCCUGCUGCAUGGUGGGGGUUGGAAAGUUUCGGCGGUUGGGGAUGGACUCGCGGCUUAUCAGCUUGUUGGUGGGGUAGUGGCUUACCAAGGCUUUGACGGGUAGCCGGCCUGAGAGGGUGACCGGCCACAUUGGGACUGAGAUACGGCCCAGACUCCUACGGGAGGCAGCAGUGGGGAAUAUUGCACAAUGGSCAUGGNRARCCUGAUGCARCAACGCCGCGUGCGGGAUGACGGCCUUCGGGUUGUAAACCGCUUUCGCCUGUGACGAAGCGUGAGUGACGGUAAUGGGUAAAGAAGCACCGGCUAACUACGUGCCAGCAGCCGCGGUGAUACGUAGGGUGCGAGCGUUGUCCGGAUUUAUUGGGCGUAAAGGGCUCGUAGGUGGUUGAUCGCGUCGGAAGUGUAAUCUUGGGGCUUAACCCUGAGCGUGCUUUCGAUACGGGUUGACUUGAGGAAGGUAGGGGAGAAUGGAAUUCCUGGUGGAGCGGUGGAAUGCGCAGAUAUCAGGAGGAACACCAGUGGCGAAGGCGGUUCUCUGGGCCUUUCCUGACGCUGAGGAGCGAAAGCGUGGGGAGCGAACAGGCUUAGAUACCCUGGUAGUCCACGCUGUAAACGGUGGGUACUAGGUGUGGGGUCCAUUCCACGGGUUCCGUGCCGUAGCUAACGCUUUAAGUACCCCGCCUGGGGAGUACGGCCGCAAGGCUAAAACUCAAAGGAAUUGACGGGGCCCCCGCACAAGCGGCGGAGCAUGCGGAWUAAUUCGAUGCAACGCGUAGAACCUUACCUGGGUUUGACAUGGAUCGGGAGUGCUCAGAGAUGGGUGUGCCUCUUUUGGGGUCGGUUCACAGGUGGUGCAUGGCUGUCGUCAGCUCGUGUCGUGAGAUGUUGGGUUAAGUCCCGCAACGAGCGCAACCCUUGUUCACUGUUGCCAGCACGUUAUGGUGGGGACUCAGUGGAGACCGCCGGGGUCAACUCGGAGGAAGGUGGGGAUGACGUCAAGUCAUCAUGCCCCUUAUGUCCAGGGCUUCACGCAUGCUACAAUGGCUGGUACAGAGAGUGGCGAGCCUGUGAGGGUGAGCGAAUCUCGGAAAGCCGGUCUCAGUUCGGAUUGGGGUCUGCAACUCGACCUCAUGAAGUCGGAGUCGCUAGUAAUCGCAGAUCAGCAACGCUGCGGUGAAUACGUUCCCGGGGCUUGUACACACCGCCCGUCAAGUCAUGAAAGUUGGUAACACCCGAAGCCGGUGGCCUAACCGUUGUGGGGGAGCCGUCGAAGGUGGGACUGGUGAUUAGGACUAAGUCGUAACAAGGUAGCCGUA
rnacentral:rRNA from 1 species